rnacentral:lncRNA from 10 species
CCAAAGUCAUGCAACAGAAGAACCCAACUUCUCAGAGAGCUGUAAAUAUCCAGCUUGGGCAAAAUCUUUUUCCCUUGAAGACUGGAAAUAUUAUCCAUGUUGUCCUCCGGAAUAUUUUCAAUGACUUGUGCCCUGCCAGCUCUAGCUUUUGAAGGGUCUACACUCAUCAUCAACAGAUUCUGGGGGUUCAUGCACAGAUUUCUUACCUGGGUAUAUUGUGUGAUGCUGAGCUUUGGAGUUCAACUGAUUUCAUCACCCAGCAACCAGCCCAGGAAGCCAGCCCAUUAUCCAGAGGAACCAACCAAGGAAGCCAGCCUGCUCUCUAGAAGCUAGACUUGUAGGAAGCCAGACCACUGUCUCUAGCAACUGAUCCAGGAAGACAGAAAAGAACACCUCAAUAACAGGACCAAAGUGGCCAGGACUUGACUGAUGAGUAACUGACAGCUUCCCUAAUUUUUGGCCCUACUUCCAACAGAAGAACAACCAGAGAAAGCCAAGUAUGCACCUGAUGCCCCACUUCCAGUGAGCCGCCUCCAGCUUCCCACGCCAACAGCUUCCAAUCAGCACACUUUCGGAGCCUUCCCUUUUCUCCACGAUGAAAGCUUCCCCACUCCUCUGACUGCCUUUGAGCCUCUGCCAAAACUCAAGUGAUGGUAGCCGACUCCCUGCUACCGCAAGCUUGGAAUAAACAGCCUUUGCUUUUCUCAUC